UACGUAGGGUGCAAGCGUUGUCCGGAAUUAUUGGGCGUAAAGAGCUCGUAGGCGGUUUGUCGCGUCUGCUGUGAAAACUCAGGGCUUAACCCUGAGCCUGCAGUGGGUACGGGCAGACUAGAGUGUGGUAGGGGAGAUCGGAAUUCCUGGUGUAGCGGUGGAAUGCGCAGAUAUCAGGAGGAACACCAAUGCGAAGGCAGCUCGCUGGGACGUUACUGACGCUGAGACGCGAAAGCGUGGGGAGCGAACAGG
rnacentral:rRNA from 1 species